AUUGAACGCUGGCGGCAGGCCUAACACAUGCAAGUCGAACGGUAGCACAGAGAGCUUGCUCUCGGGUGACGAGUGGCGGACGGGUGAGUAACGUCUGGGAAACUGCCCGAUGGAGGGGGAUAACUACUGGAAACGGUAGCUAAUACCGCAUAACGUCGCAAGACCAAAGUGAGGGACCUUCGGGCCUCACACCAUCGGAUGUGCCCAGAUGGGAUUAGCUAGUAGGUGGGGUAAUGGCUCACCUAGGCGACGAUCCCUAGCUGGUCGGAGAGGAGGACCAGCAAACCUGUAACUGAGACACGGACCAGACGCCUACGUGAGGAAACAGUGGGGAAUAUUACACAAUGGGCGCGAGCCUGAUGCAGCCAUGCCGCGUAUAUGAAGAAGGCGUUCGGGUUGGAAAGUACUUUCAGCGGGGAGGAAGGCGGUGAAGUUAAUAACUUCACCGAUUGACGUUACCCGCAGAAGAAGCACCGGCUAACUCCGUGCCAGCAGCCGCGGUAA
rnacentral:rRNA from 1 species